UACGAAGGGGGCUAGCGUUGUUCGGAUUUACUGGGCGUAAAGCGCACGUAGGCGGAGCUUUAAGUCAGAGGUGAAAUCCCAAGGCUCAACCUUGGAACUGCCUUUGAUACUGGGGAUCUUGAGUCCGGGAGAGGUGAGUGGAACUGCGAGUGUAGAGGUGAAAUUCGUAGAUAUUCGCAAGAACACCAGUGGCGAAGGCGGCUCACUGGCCCGGUACUGACGCUGAGGUGCGAAAGCGUGGGGAGCAAACAGG
rnacentral:rRNA from 1 species